rfam:Stegodyphus mimosarum contig52350, whole genome shotgun sequence.
ACCUUCGUGGUGUAAUGGUCAGCACACUGAGCCGGUAUUUCAGAGGUCCGCGGUUCGAUCCCCGGCGAAGGCA